AACACGUGGGUGAUCUGCCUUGCACUUCGGGAUAAGCCUGGGAAACUGGGUCUAAUACCGGAUAUGACCACUGAAUGCAUGUUCGGUGGUGGAAAGAUUUAUCGGUGCGAGAUGGGCCCGCGGCCUAUCAGCUUGUUGGUGAGGUAACGGCCCACCAAGGCGACGACGGGUAGCCGACCUGAGAGGGUGACCGGCCACACUGGGACUGAGACACGGCCCAGACUCCUACGGGAGGCAGCAGUGGGGAAUAUUGCACAAUGGGCGAAAGCCUGAUGCAGCGACGCCGCGUGCGGGAUGACGGCCUUCGGGUUGUAAACCGCUUUUGACAGGGACGAAGCGCAAGUGACUGUACCUGUAGAAUAAGGACCGGCCAACUACGUGCCAGCAGCCGCGGUAAUACGUAGGGUCCGAGCGUUGUCCGGAAUUACUGGGCGUAAAGAGCUUGUAGGCGGUUCGUCGCGUCGUUUGUGAAAACUUGGGGCUCAACCUUAAGCUUGCAGGCGAUACGGGCGGACUAGAGUACUUCAGGGGAGACUGGAAUUCCUGGUGUAGCGGUGAAAUGCGCAGAUAUCAGGAGGAACACCGGUGGCGAAGGCGGGUCUCUGGGAAGUAACUGACGCUGAGAAGCGAAAGCAUGGGUAGCAAACAGGAUUAGAUACCCUGGUAGUCCAUGCCGUAAACGGUGGGUACUAGGUGUGGGGCUCCUUCCACGGACUCCGUGCCGUAGCUAACGCAUUAAGUACCCCGCCUGGGGAGUACGGCCGCAAGGCUAAAACUCAAAGAAAUUGACGGGGGCCCGCACAAGCGGCGGAGCAUGUGGAUUAAUUCGAUGCAACGCGAAGAACCUUACCUGGGUUUGACAUACACCGGAAACCUGCAGAGAUGUAGGCCCCCUUGUGGUCGGUGUACAGGUGGUGCAUGGCUGUCGUCAGCUCGUGUCGUGAGAUGUUGGGUUAAGUCCCGCAACGAGCGCAACCCUUAUCUUAUGUUGCCAGCGCGUAAUGGCGGGGACUCGUGAGAGACUGCCGGGGUCAACUCGGAGGAAGGUGGGGACGACGUCAAGUCAUCAUGCCCCUUAUGUCCAGGGCUUCACACAUGCUACAAUGGCCGGUACAGAGGGCUGCGAUACCGCGAGGUGGAGCGAAUCCCUUAAAGCCGGUCUCAGUUCGGAUCGGGGUCUGCAACUCGACCCCGUGAAGUUGGAGUCGCUAGUAAUCGCAGAUCAGCAACGCUGCGGUGAAUACGUUCCCGGGCCUUGUACACACCGCCCGUCACGUCAUG
rnacentral:rRNA from 1 species